rnacentral:rRNA from 1 species
AUGAACGCUGGCGGCGUGCCUAAUACAUGCAAGUCGAGCGAACGGACGAGAAGCUUGCUUUUCUGAUGUUAGCGGCGGACGGGUGAGUAACACGUGGAUAACCUACCUAUAAGACUGGGAUAACUUCGGGAAACCGGAGCUAAUACCGGAUAAUAUUUUGAACCGCAUGGUUCAAAAGUGAAAGACGGUCUUGCUGUCACUUAUAGAUGGAUCCGCGCUGCAUUAGCUAGUUGGUAAGGUAACGGCUUACCAAGGCAACGAUGCAUAGCCGACCUGAGAGGGUGAUCGGCCACGCUGGAACUGAGACACGGUCCAGACUCCUACGGGAGGCAGCAGUAGGGAAUCUUCCGCAAUGGGCGAAAGCCUGACGGAGCAACGCCGCGUGAGUGAUGAAGGUCUUCGGAUCGUAAAACUCUGUUAUUAGGGAAGAACAUAUGUGUAAGUAACUGUGCACAUCUUGACGGUACCUAAUCAGAAAGCCACGGCUAACUACGUG